rnacentral:rRNA from 1 species
CCUACGGGAGGCAGCAGUGGGGGAUAUUGCACAAUGGGGGAAACCCUGAUGCAGCGACGCCGCGUGGGUGAAGAAGCGCCUCGGCGCGUAAAGCCCUGUCAGCAGGGAAGAAAAUGACGGUACCUGAAGAAGAAGCCCCGGCUAACUACGUGCCAGCAGCCGCGGUAAUACGUAGGGGGCAAGCGUUAGCCGGAUUUACUGGGUGUAAAGGGGGCGGAGACGGCGAUGCAAGCCAGGCGUGAAAGCCCGGGGCCCAACCCCGGGGCUGCUUUUGGAACUGCGUGGCUAGAGUGCAGGAGGGGCAGGCGGAAUUCCUGGUGUAGCGGUGAAAUGCGUAGAUAUCAGGAGGAACACCGGUGGCGAAGGCGGCCUGCUGGACUGCAACUGACGUUGAGGCCCGAAAGCGUGGGGAGCAAACAGGAUUAGAUACCCCAGUAGUC